rnacentral:rRNA from 1 species
AGUGAACGCUGGCGGUAGGCCUAACACAUGCAAGUCGAACGGCAGCACAGUAAGAGCUUGCGCUUACGGGUGGCGAGUGGCGGACGGGUGAGGAAUACAUCGGAAUCUACUUUUUCGUGGGGGAUAACGUAGGGAAACUUACGCUAAUACCGCAUACGACCUACGGGGGAAAGCAGGGGAUCUUCGGACCUUGCGCGAUUCAAUGAGCCGAUUUCGGAUUAGCUAGUUGGCGGGGUAAAGGCCCACCAAGGCGACGAUCCGUAGCUGGUCUGAGAGGAGGAUCAGCACCACUGGACCUGAGACCCGUUCCAGACUCCUACGGGAGGAAGAGGUGGGAAUUAUUGGACAAUGGGCGCAAGCCUGAUCCAGCCAUACCGCGUGGGUGAGAAAGGCCUUCGAGUUGUAAAGCCCUUUUGUUGGGAAAGAAAAGCAGCAGGUUAAUCCCCCGCUGUUCUUACGGUACCCAAAGAAUAAGCACCGGCAAACUUCGU